rfam:Otolemur garnettii contig066307, whole genome shotgun sequence.
UUUCUGUUUAAGACAGAAGGAUUCUAUACAAACUUGAAAUGUCUUUUGACUUUAUAUUUGAAAAUGUGUGUGCAUGUGCAUUCAUGAAGUGGAGAGAAAUGAUAAAUGCUUUCAUUUGAGUCAGAGUCGUACACAUCACAGGCAGCUGCUGUGAGCGCUGUUAUUACAGUUUUGACCUGACAUAUGAGGUGGAAAAU